rnacentral:rRNA from 1 species
CCUACGGGUGGCAGCAGUGAGGAAUAUUGGUCAAUGGACGUGAGUCUGAACCAGCCAAGUAGCGUGAAGGAUGACUGCCCUAUGGGUUGUACACUUCUUUUAUAUGGGAAUAAAAUGUUCCACGUGUGGGAUUUUGUAUGUACCAUAUGAAUAAGGAUCGGCUAACUCCGUGCCAGCAGCCGCGGUAAUACGGAGGAUCCGAGCGUUAUCCGGAUUUAUUGGGUUUAAAGGGAGCGUAGGUGGAUUGUUAAGUCAGUUGUGAAAGUUUGCGGCUCAACCGUAAAAUUGCAGUUGAAACUGGCAGUCUGGAGGACAGUAGAGGUGGGCGGAAUUCGUGGUGUAGCGGUGAAAUGCUUAGAUAUCACGAAGAACUCCGAUUGCGAAGGCAGCCUACUAAACUGCCACUGACAUUGAUGCUCGAAAGUGUGGGUAUCAAACAGGAUUAGAUACCCGGGUAGUC